GCCUGGGUGGCUCAGUCGGUUGAGCGUCCAACUUCGGUUCGGGUCAUGAUCUCCUGGUCUGUGGGUUCAAGCCCCGUGUCGGGCU
rfam:Felis catus isolate Cinnamon breed Abyssinian chromosome A3, whole genome shotgun sequence.